AUGCCCACAGGCACGAUCAGGCCUUGGCCUGAUCAUGCAAGCGCAAUUAGCUAAAUAUGCCUGUGCACGCCUGCAUGCUCUGUGGGCCGGUCAGUCACCACGGCAGUGGCUGGUCACUUCCCAGUAGCUACCAUGGUGAGGAUUAGGCACGGCUACCAGCAUUUACCAUGAAUGCCCAUAGCUGGCCUCAGGUAAGGUUUCCAGGCAUGCAGGGCAAAAAGACCCUCUUACUCUGAAAGUGAACUGACGCUUCCUUAAACUUAAGUGUGAAUGCAUCCCUUCUCGGUCUGUCCCUAGCUAGCGCAGAGUCUUCUUGCCUGUUUGAACGCCCCGCCCUGCCAAUUAACGUCCCGCUGUUAUUAGCCAUCAUGUAGGAAUGUCUCCACCCCGCCCCCAACCUAUUACCACUAAAUUUUUCCCGCAGCUCAGCGUUUGAAAAUAUUUCACUCUGCAUUCGACCGAGCUGCGCGCGCGGUCGAUGAAUUCAGUUGGCCAGCCCGAAAAUCAUUAUUUCAUCUGCCAUCCAAGUUCCCUUAUCAAAUGCCAUCACCAUUUCGUAGCUAAUCUAGGUCCCAUGCAGCGCAGUACGUUUACACUAGGCAGAGUCAGUUUGGGGAAAUCUUUUGUUUUCGCCAGGAAAUCGCUGCUGCUCUGCUACUUUUUUGCCUGUUUGCUGCCUCCGGUUUCUAGUCCGGGGAGCACUGAAGGGCGGAGGGAAGGAAAUCCAUGCAACGAGAAGUUUCCUCCUGUGUGCGUGCGCUCUCUUUGUUUGCCUCAAGUUUGUCCUAUCAAAAAGAUGAGAUCAGAGAGGAACGUUUGUGCCGCCGCCUGCUGGUAGAUAUUUCCGCAACUUCAGUUAUCCCCCCAUCCGCAUCUUCCGCCAGCAGAGCGCGUUUCGGGUGCUGGGUGGAGCUUUUUAUGCUAGCACUAAUUUAAAGGGGGUCAGUGGUUACGUAGCAGCGAUUGGACUCAAGGAAAUAUGGAAAGGGAUUUCCCCCCACACCAUAGGCAGCAUUUUGGGAGACAAUUUGAGCCUCCUUUUCACCAGAAUAAUAGGUUAAAUGAAGACUUUUGGGAAGACAAGUGUUUUCCAGAAAUGCCACCUCCUGGAUGGAAUGAACCAUAUCCCAACCAACAUUGGGAGCGACCACCAUGGGAAUUUAACAACUUUGGAAAGGGCAACUUUCCUGAUCGGGGCCGUGGCUGGAAUUACCCCAGAGGAAAUUACCAUAAUAACCGUCCCUACAGAGGCCGUUACAGAGGAUUUAAAAGCAACUUCUCAAAAGGGAGAGGUCGAUACCAGAAGUCACCACGCCCCUCCUGCUUAGUUAAUAUGAUGCCAACUAAAAAGGAAAACAAUUCCACAAUGGUAGAAGCGCAGUCAGUGCCAACCAAGAUCACAGAAGGUCAGAAGGAUUCUACAGGAGAGAAGGAAGCUGAUUCAUCCAAGCAAGUCAAGAUGAAAGACAAGGUCUCUGAAGAUCCUCCCAGUCUCACUUCUCGAGAGCUUUCCACUGAAGAAUGUACAGAUAGCACAGAAACUUGUCCUACUAUACAAAAACAGGAGGCAUCUGUUGAGAUUCUGCAGGUGCCAGAAAUCAAACAGGAUGCGAGUCUUUCUGAUCUAACUGGUCCAUCAGCUGCAGUUGAACCUCAUGUUCCUCUUGACACUAAAGAAGCCACAACUUUCUUAGACAGCAUGGAAACAGAACAGAAAUCUCUGCAGUCUGAGCUGAAAGACAGCCCAGAUGCUGAAAACUCUCCCAGUGGGGCUGUAUUGAUUCCAUCUAUUGAAGCACCUAAAGAAGAACAAGUAUCAUUAGAGACCAUAGAAGACCUUCAUACCACAGGAGACAAAGAACCUAUGUUGGUGAAAGAUAGUCAGGCCCAAGAUCAGUCCUGCCAUUUUAACUCAUCUUUGACUGUAGACAUACCAUUCUUGUCUGAGAUUGCAGGUGAACAUCAGCACAAGGGAAAACAAAAUACUGUACAGAUCCAGACUGCAGACACCGAUAAGGUUGUAGACCAGCACCAAGCCUGCAUUGCCGUAGUCAUUCACCCUGCCAACCUGAGUGAUGUUUCUGUUGUUCCCAUGCUGGUGAGAGAGGAAAAAAGUGGAACGCAAUCAUCUCUCCAGGUUUAUCCCAGGGAUGCAACUUUUUUUCAUACUGGAAACCUCUGUAGUUGGGCCCCUGAAGGUUGCCAGGAACCAGUCCAGAGCGUGAGCCAUCCUGGCGAGUGUGAUAAAGACCUUGAACAAGGCACUGGUUUGUCUCCUGCUCCCAUAUCUUGUAAUUGGAAAUGUGAUGCUAGAAAACUCUUGGAAGGCUGCACUUGUUCACCAAGGAGUCAAUACAGCAGCGAUUCAAGGCACUCUAAUACAAAUCAAGCCCCAAGGGGCAUGCAUGUUCAAUGUUCAAGAUCACAGCAGCAAGAAUUGUCUCUUCAGCAGAGAGAGCAGCAUUCAGGAUCUCUUCUGAGGAAGAAAGAGGACAGUUUCUGGACAAACUGUAAUCAGUCUUGUCACAAUAAAUGUUACUGCAGUGUAUCCCAAGAGAAUUUCCAGGAGAAGGAUUCCUGUUCACGUUGUUUGCUUCGUAAAAUAAAUCACCACCAUUCCCGAAAAGAAAGGCACAAGCCCUACAGAAUGCCACAGCUGCUUUCUUCAAAGAAUGCUCUCAUGAAGAUGAGGAAGAGAAAAUUAACAUACCGUGAGAAAACUAAAAAGACAAUGCCAACUUCAGAUAAAGGAACACAGUCUGCUAAGCUUACGAAAAAAUCCAGGAAAGAGCAAGCAGAUAGAGCAUCUGUCCCAUCAGGUGCUGCAGAAAAGAUACAGCUGGUGAAAACAGAAGAGCCUGAGCUGGUUCAGAUGACAAAGAGCAGUGAGAAUGAACCUUCUGCUGGAAUAGCAACUGAUCUUGGAUUUGAACAAAAGAAACUCAGGGAACGUUCUGCUGUCAUACUGGCUACAAAGGAAAAGAUUGAACGGACCUAUCAGCAAGUCCUCCUGAACUUUGCAGCUGUGACCACCAUGUUACUGGAAACAGAUUCCAGCAUGGAGGCAUCCAUAGAGUCAGCAUUGCGAGCCAACCUGCGAAAGAUUGGAAAUUACUAUGAAUGCAUGCUGAAGAACUUUAUUGACAGUUAUGACUUAGCCAACGCCAGCUGAGAGAACAUAUAAUGGGAAAUCCAUCUAUUGCAAGAUGGAAUCAAUGGAAUGGGAAGCUAUGUGGGUUUUGGACUUGGCAAUAAAGGAGAGUCAUUGGGGGAAAGCUGUCA
ensembl:lncRNA